CUGGCGGCAUGCCUACACUUUCCCGUCGACGCACUCUUCGGAGUGUGUGGCGCACGGGUGAGUAACGCGUGGGAACCUGCCCUGGGGACCGGAAUAACCCCUGGAAACGGUGGCUAAUACCCCAUACUCCUUUCGGGGCGAAAGAUUUAUCGCCCUUGGAUGGGCCCGCGUCCGAUUACCUAGUUGGUGGGGUAAAGGCCCACCAUGGCUACUAUCUGUAGCUGGUCUGAGAGGAUGAUCAGCCACACUGGGACUGAGACACGGCCCAGACUCCUACGGGAGGCAGCAGUGGGGAAUCUUGGACAAUGGGCGAAACCCUGAUCCAGCCAUGCCGCGUGAGUGAAGAAGGCCCUAGGGUUGUAAAGCUCUUUCAGCCGUGACGAUGAUGACGGUACCGACAGAAUAAGCCCCGGCUAACUCCGUGCCAGCAGCCGCGGUAAUACGGAGGGAGCUAGCGUUGUUCGGAAUUUACUGGGCGUAAAGCGGCGCGUAGGCGGAUUAUCAAGUCAGAGGUGAAAUCCCGGGGCUCAACCUGGGAA
rnacentral:rRNA from 1 species